rnacentral:rRNA from 1 species
UUGAAGAGUUUGAUCAUGGCUCAGAUUGAACGCUGGCGGCAGGCCUAACACAUGCAAGUCGAGCGGUAGCACAGAGAGCUUGCUCUCGGGUGACGAGCGGCGGACGGGUGAGUAAUGUCUGGGAAACUGCCUGAUGGAGGGGGAUAACUACUGGAAACGGUAGCUAAUACCGCAUAACGUCGCAAGACCAAAGUGGGGGACCUUCGGGCCUCAUGCCAUCAGAUGUGCCCAGAUGGGAUUAGCUAGUAGGUGGGGUAACGGCUCACCUAGGCGACGAUCCCUAGCUGGUCUGAGAGGAUGACCAGCCACACUGGAACUGAGACACGGUCCAGACUCCUACGGGAGGCAGCAGUGGGGAAUAUUGCACAAUGGGCGCAAGCCUGAUGCAGCCAUGCCGCGUGUGUGAAGAAGGCCUUCGGGUUGUAAAGCACUUUCAGCGGGGAGGAAGGCGUUAAGGUUAAUAACCUCAUCGAUUGACGUUACCCGCAGAAGAAGCACCGGCUAACUCCGUGCCAGCAGCCGCGGUAAUACGGAGGGUGCAAGCGUUAAUCGGAAUUACUGGGCGUAAAGCGCACGCAGGCGGUCUGUCAAGUCGGAUGUGAAAUCCCCGGGCUCAACCUGGGAACUGCAUUCGAAACUGGCAGGCUAGAGUCUUGUAGAGGGGGGUAGAAUUCCAGGUGUAGCGGUGAAAUGCGUAGAGAUCUGGAGGAAUACCGGUGGCGAAGGCGGCCCCCUGGACAAAGACUGACGCUCAGGUGCGAAAGCGUGGGGAGCAAACAGGAUUAGAUACCCUGGUAGUCCACGCCGUAAACGAUGUCGAUUUGGAGGUUGUGCCCUUGAGGCGUGGCUUCCGGAGCUAACGCGUUAAAUCGACCGCCUGGGGAGUACGGCCGCAAGGUUAAAACUCAAAUGAAUUGACGGGGGCCCGCACAAGCGGUGGAGCAUGUGGUUUAAUUCGAUGCAACGCGAAGAACCUUACCUGGUCUUGACAUCCACAGAACUUAGCAGAGAUGCUUUGGUGCCUUCGGGAACUGUGAGACAGGUGCUGCAUGGCUGUCGUCAGCUCGUGUUGUGAAAUGUUGGGUUAAGUCCCGCAACGAGCGCAACCCUUAUCCUUUGUUGCCAGCGGUCCGGCCGGGAACUCAAAGGAGACUGCCAGUGAUAAACUGGAGGAAGGUGGGGAUGACGUCAAGUCAUCAUGGCCCUUACGACCAGGGCUACACACGUGCUACAAUGGCAUAUACAAAGAGAAGCGACCUCGCGAGAGCAAGCGGACCUCAUAAAGUAUGUCGUAGUCCGGAUUGGAGUCUGCAACUCGACUCCAUGAAGUCGGAAUCGCUAGUAAUCGUAGAUCAGAAUGCUACGGUGAAUACGUUCCCGGGCCUUGUACACACCGCCCGUCACACCAUGGGAGUGGGUUGCAAAAGAAGUAGGUAGCUUAACCUUCGGGAGGGCGCUUACCACUUUGUGAUUCAUGACUGGGGUGAAGUCGUAACAAGGUAACCGUAGGGGAACCUGCGGUUGGAUCACCUCCU